rnacentral:rRNA from 1 species
AGUAGGGAAUCUUCCGCAAUGGGCGAAAGCCUGACGGAGCAACGCCGCGUGAGUGAUGAAGGUCUUCGGAUCGUAAAACUCUGUUAUCAGGGAAGAACAAAUGUGUAAGUAACUGUGCACGUCUUGACGGUACCUGAUCAGAAAGCCACGGCUAACUACGUGCCAGCAGCCGCGGUAAUACGUAGGUGGCAAGCGUUAUCCGGAAUUAUUGGGCGUAAAGCGCGCGUAGGCGGUUUUUUAAGUCUGAUGUGAAAGCCCACGGCUCAACCGUGGAGGGUCAUUGGAAACUGGAAAACUUGAGUGCAGAAGAGGAAAGUGGAAUUCCAUGUGUAGCGGUGAAAUGCGCAGAGAUAUGGAGGAACACCAGUGGCGAAGGCGACUUUCUGGUCUGUAACUGACGCUGAUGUGCGAAAGCGUGGGGAUCAAA